GAUGUGAUUGCGGGAGAGACUGCCGCAUGGCAGCGCCGAAGGAGCAACCGCCCCGGAAACUCUCAGGCAAAAGGACCGCUAUCACUGC
rfam:Pseudomonadales bacterium GWC1_66_9 gwc1_scaffold_10350, whole genome shotgun sequence.